CGGGGGGGCAAGCGUUGUUCGGAAUUACUGGGCGUAAAGGGCUCGUAGGCGGCCAACUAAGCCGGACGUGAAAUCCCCAGGCUCAACCUGGGAACUGCGUCCGAUACUGGAUGGCUUGAAUCCGGGAGAGGGAUGCAGAAUUCCAGGUGUAGCGGUGAAAUGCGUAGAUAUCUGGAGGAAUACCGGUGGCGAAGGCGGCAUCCUGGACCGGCAUUGACGCUGAGGAGCGAAAGCCAGGGGAGCAAACGGGAUUAGAUACCCCGGUAGUCCUGGCCCUAAACGAUGAAUGCUUGGUGUAACGGGUAUCGAUCCCUGUUGUGCCGAAGCUAACGCAUUAAGCAUUCCGCCUGGGGAUACGGUCGCAAGGCUG
rnacentral:rRNA from 1 species